GCCCCGUAGGCGUAGCGGUUGCGCAGCGGUCUUGUAAACCGUCAAGGCUAGGUUCGACUCCUAGGCGGGGCU
rnacentral:tRNA from 2 species